CUCUCUCGAAGUUAUAUAUAUAUAUAUAUAUAUAUAUAUAUAUAUAUAUAUAUAUAUAUAUAUAUAUAUAUAUAUAUAUAUAUAUAUAGCAUUACUCUCGAAGCUUACCUAUUCCAUUGCCUUAACUUGCGUUGCCACCCGCCUCCCGUAUGGCGUCCGCCCGCUCCCUCAUCUCCACCUAGUCCACCCGGCCCUCGGCGUCCCGCCUUUCCGCCCCCUCCCAAAUCAUCAAAUUCCCCUCCCAGCCCCUCCCCCUCUUCUCUCGCCGCAUCAUCCCCCUUCCCCGGUCGGCCGCCACCGCUGCAGCUUCCCCCAAGAUCGAGGAGCUCGGCUCUCUGAUCGCCAAUCUCACCCUCGAGGAGGCUCUCAGCCUCCUCGAACACCUUCAGGACCGCCUGAGCGUCUCCGUUGCCACCUUCGCCGCCGUCGCCCCCGGCACGGCCACCGACGCGGCAGCCGGAGCUCCCGCCGCUACUGAGGAGAAAACGGAGUUCGACGACGUUUCGAGCAACGCCAGGAUCGCCACCAUCAAGGUCAUCAGAGCGCUGACAAACCUCGCGCUCAAGGAGGCCAAGGACCUCAUCGAGGGGUUCCCGAAGAAGUUCAAGGAGGGCGUAUCAAAGGAGGAGGUUGAGGAGGCCAAGAAGCAGCUCGAGGAGAUCGGAGCGAAGAUCUCCAUCGUGUGAGCUCUGCAAGGUCGGACGGCUAGGCAUCAGCUCUGGGAUCCUCAAAAUGGAUGGUCUAUUUCCCUUUCGUCGAACACCUUAUGGUCGCACAUCGCUGACCCCUCUCAAGUCCACCUUCCGAUGAAUUCAUUACAUCCGCAAACGUGAAGGAUUUUAUUGCAAACUUUGUAAAGUAAGAAAAGAACAAUAAGGAUGUGAAUAUUCUUUGUGAUUCGGCUACCGACAAUAUGGACUACAUUUUAGUUAGCAAUAUGGUUGAAAAAUUACAUUUGUUCUCUUA